CCUACGGGAGGCAGCAGUGAGGAAUAUUGGUCAAUGGACGAGAGUCUGAACCAGCCAAGUAGCGUGAAGGAUGACUGCCCUAUGGGUUGUAAACUUCUUUUAUAUGGGAAUAAAACAGGGUAUGCAUACCCUCUUGUAUGUACCAUAUGAAUAAGGAUCGGCUAACUCCGUGCCAGCAGCCGCGGUAAUACGGAGGAUCCGAGCGUUAUCCGGAUUUAUUGGGUUUAAAGGGAGCGUAGGUGGAUUGUUAAGUCAGUUGUGAAAGUUUGCGGCUCAACCGUAAAAUUGCAGUUGAAAAUGGCAGUCGUGAGUACAGUAGAGGUGGGCGGAAAGCGUGGUGUAGCGGUGAAAUGCUUAGAUAUCACGAAGAACUCCGAUUGCGAAGGCAGCUCACUGGACUGCAACUGACACUGAUGCUCGAAAGUGUGGGUAUCAAACAGGAUUAGAUACCCUGGUAGUC
rnacentral:rRNA from 1 species